UCCAGACUCCUACGGGAGGCAGCAGUGAGGAAUAUUGGUCAAUGGCCGAGAGGCUGAACCAGCCAAGUCGCGUGAGGGAUGACGGCCCUACGGGUUGUAAACCUCUUUUGCCGGGGAGCAAAGAGCGGGACGCGUCCCGCCUCGAGAGUACCCGGAGAAAAAGCAUCGGCUAACUCCGUGCCAGCAGCCGCGGUAAUACGGAGGAUGCGAGCGUUAUCCGGAUUUAUUGGGUUUAAAGGGUGCGUAGGCGGACGCUUAAGUCAGCGGUAAAAUUGAGGGGCUCAACCUCUUCGAGCCGUUGAAACUGGCUUUCUUGAGUGAGUGAGAAGUAUGCGGAAUGCGUGGUGUAGCGGUGAAAUGCAUAGAUAUCACGCAGAACUCCGAUUGCGAAGGCAGCAUACCGGCGCUCAACUGACGCUCAUGCACGAAAGUGUGGGUAUCGAACAGGAUUAGAUACCCGCGUAA
rnacentral:rRNA from 1 species